GAUGAACGCUAGCGGCAGGCCUAAUACAUGCAAGUCGGACGGGAUUCAGGAGCUUGCUUCUGAUGAGAGUGGCGCACGGGUGCGUAACACGUAUGUAACCUACCUUUAUCAGGGGGAUAGCCUCUCGAAAGAGAGAUUAAGCCCGCAUAAAAUCACAGCACAGCAUUGUGUAAUGAUCAAAUAUUUAUAGGAUAAAGAUGGGCAUGCGGAACAUUAGCUAGAUGGCGGGGUAACGGCCCACCAUGGCGACGAUGUUUAGGGGAUCUGAGAGGAUGGCCCCCCACACGGGUACUGAGACACGGACCAGACUCCUACGGGAGGCAGCAGUAAGGAAUAGUGGUCAAUGGGCGGAAGCCUGAACCAGCCAUGCCGCGUGCAGGAAGACGGCCCUACGGGUUGUAAACUGCUUUUAUACGGGAAUAAACCCAGAUACGUGUAUCUGGCUGAAUGUACUGUAAGAAUAAGGAUCGGCUAACUCCGUG
rnacentral:rRNA from 1 species